AUUGAACGCUGGCGGCAGGCCUAACACAUGCAAGUCGAGCGAGCGGCGGACGGGUGAGUAAUGUAUGGGGACUGCCCGAUAGAGGGGGAUAACUACUGGAAACGGUAGCUAAUACCGCAUACUAUCGGAUAACCCAUAUGGGAUUAGCUAGUAGGUGAGGUAAUGGCUCACCUAGGCGACGAUCCCUAGCUGGUCUGAGAGGAUGAUCAGCCAACAGGGGACUGAGGCACGGCCAAGACUCCUACGGAGGCAGCGGUGGGGAAUAUUGAACGAUGGGCGCAAGCCUGAUGCAGCCAUGCCGCGUGUAUGAAGGAGGCCCUAGGGUUGUAAGGUACUUUCAGUCGGGAGGCGUUACCGACAGAAGAAGCACCAGCUAACUCCGUGCCAGCAGCCGCGGUAAUUC
rnacentral:rRNA from 1 species